rnacentral:lncRNA from 1 species
UAUAUUCCACUUUGAUUUUCAGGCGGUGAGAGUGUCCAAAGCAGUGCUCAUACGCUUGCCAGUGUGAGGCACGUUCGCAGGUUGUCCUGGUCCAGCGCAGUGGUGUGGGUGAUGUGCAGAGAGUGCCACUGGCUGAGACAUACUGCAAAAGGUCACGCCUGCUGCAAAAGGCCGUUCCUGGAGGUGACAGGGCUGUAGAUGACCGGCAGUGGAUACAGAACUGCUAAAACAUUAAGAAUGAAUUUACUCUCCACGGAGAAGAUCUGGAAUGGUAAAAACAGCAGUGUGAUGCAACCUGUGCCUGUGAGGGGUCAGACUGCCUUCAACAUACAGAGAAGUGGAGGAAGGAUUCACAUCUGUGGGGUGUGCCUGUGUGUGCCUGUGUGUGUGUGGUAUGGGCCACUAGUGGUAGGUCAAAAGCUGACAUUUAAUUCUUAACUUUGAAAAUUAGAGAAGGCUAUCCUAUAAGCUUAUAUUUAAAAUCACCAACAUAACCAUUUCUAUAAUUAAAAGUCCAAAGACAUAGAUUCAAAAGAGCAGAGUAUAUAUAAUGCCUCCUCCAGACCAGCAUGAGGAAAAAGAUUUAAGGAGGGAAGAAACAACAGAGAAGUGGAAAAUAAAUCCAAAGAGCAAGAUAAUAGAAGUACACACUUAUCAAUUAGAAUUUAAAAGUACAAACAGUGUGAUAUCUCAUGAUGAGCAAGAAAAAUUUUCAGAACAUUCUUUAAAACAAAACAGAAGUGGGGUAUUUAUGUCCAUUUUUUUUUUAAAAAAAGCUGAUUUGGAUUGGUUAAAAGAAAAUACUGGGAACAGAAGGCUCUCCAACCUUGUUCUUCUGAUUCAAGAUUCUCUUGGCUAAUUUUGGAUUUUAUAUGUCCACAUAUGCUUUGGAAUCAGCUUUUAAUUCCCACAAUAAUGAACAUGCCAGAAUUAUACCUGGAAUUGAGUCUCACCCAUGAAUCAGCUUGAGAGAAAAGUCAGCCUAACAAUGGAGGUCUUUCCAAUCUGUAGGAAUGACACCCCUCGCCUCCUUUGUAGUUUUCAAAGUAAAGGUCUUGCACAACUUUUCAAAUAUCAGUUUCUAGGCAUUUUCUUUGUAUGUUAUUAUAAAUGAUAUAUGUUUAAUAUUUCAUGUUUUGCUUAUUUAUUGGGAUAUGGAAAUAAAAUUGUUUUCUAUACUGACAGCAUUCAACAUUCUUGCCAAAUUUGAUUAUCAAUUUGUAUACUACAUGGAGUUCUUUCAGUGAUUUAUAUACACAUUUGUGUCAUCAGCAAACAACGACUUCUAUUUAUUCCUUUGAUUCUUUGUCCUAGCUUAUUUAUUGUUCUUGGCUUAUCACACUGGAAAGGAUCUCUAAUAUUAGUGUGAACCCCACUGUGAUAUGGGCAGCCUUUCUUCCCUCCUGGGGGCAAGAGUUCAACUUCUUAUUGUUAAGUUUACUUUAGUAUUUUUGUUGAUGUUUUUAUUGGAUUAAGGAUGUACUAUUCUAGUUCUGG